AAAUAUAUAUGAUCAAGGACGCAAGUAAUAUGUAAUCAAAGUUAGUUGGAAGCUAACGUUCGUCUACUUCGCAUGUUCCUUUGGGUACUCGCAGCCAUAUCUCUCAAUUAUUUAAGGUGACAGACAUUUUUUCCUUCUACGAAGAAAAAGAAAGGAGGCAGCUUUAUAAGUACGUCGAAAGAAACAAAGAAAAUAUGAAAACUUCUACGCAGUAUUUCGAACGUGAUAAAAAGUCAAGACAGAGAUUAGUAUAUUUUUCUUAUACUUUAUCUAUUUCGUAAGACAAAGCUACGUUCGCAGCUAAGAUAUCACCGAUAGGAUUACGGAUGUUUUCAUCUUACGCUCCAAUUCUUUGCAAUAUCACGAUCGCUUUUCCAACAAUAUCGAAUGAGACGCUUUUGAAAGGUAAAAUUGCUGGAAGGAGAGUAUUAGAUUGAGCAUUCCUUUCGCUGAACGAUAUGCACGUGAAAAUGACAAACGAGUCCUUUGAAGAACGAUCAACGAAAAUAACAAUCCUUCGCUGCAGCCAUAAAAGUUUCUCAUGCAUGAAUUUGGAUAACGAAGCGUUAAAAGAUUCUUCUGUGUUCGUGUAUUAAAUCACGGGAAGAAAGUUAAGAGAGAGAGAGAGGGGGGAGGGAGGGAGAGAGAGAAAGAGAGAGAGGGAAAGAGAGGUUUUAACUUCGGUGAAUAUUUAUUUGCAUUUGUGAGUGCACGAGCUGAUAACGGCCAGGGAUUUUUUUAUUAUAUUUUUUUACUAUAAUCUCGAUGAUUUUUUAUCAUUUAAAUACGUGUGUCGUAUGAUCUUAAAAUAAAUACAAUACAUCAUUUUGAAUUUAUUUAGAAAAUAAUUACAAAUUUAUUAUCGGAUUUAUUUCUUUUUUUUUUUAUGCGAAGUCAUUCAUUACUUUGUGCAAUUUAGCAUAAGUACCAUCAAAUAAUAAAUUUUUUUUAUUCUCGAAGCAAAAUGGUAAAAAAGAGGGAUAAAAGAAACGAUAUUUAUUUAAUCACUUGAUUAAAGCUCGAGAAAGUAUAUUGGGUAAAUCAAUAGCAUCAUAAGCUCACCUUAUCUAAGCUAUCCGUUCGAGUUUAAGUUCUUCAUACGCAUCAUCGUCACGGAACUAUUUCGUUAAAUAAACGAAAGCUAUUUGUAGUAUUUUCACUGAUCAAAAUAGAAGCUCUCUUCAUGUCGACAAAUCGAAUUUAUAACAAUCCUGCGCCAUUAACAGAGAAAAUGUGAAGCGUACAACAAAGUCAUUAUGAGUUUCGUAAUCGUAUAAACUUUCAUAAUUAGUUACAAUCAUUAAUUCUAAAAUACAGUAUUCACUUCGUAAUAGAACACACGAUUUUUAAACUUAUGAUAUACCUAAUCCUAUUUUAUUAAAUUAUCCACAUAUUCAUAUUACGUUACAUCCGUUGUACGUACUUAAAUGUAUAAUCAUUCAAAUUAACAAGAAAUUAAGCAAUAUGCAAUAAUAUUGAAUGAUUGUCAUAGUCGUAUAUAACAAAAAUUACGUUUAUAUUACUACGAUAGAUAUUUAACGCUUACAACUUAAUAUCGUAUGUUAUCCUUAGAGUAUAUUAUUAUCCUAUUGUCUCGAGAAAUAUUAAAUAAAGUGUCUCUCGCAUUUUAAGGAUGAAGACAGAGUUUCGUGUCACGUAUUCCACAUGAGAAUAAUUUCAUUUACCACGUGGCUGCAUACGUGCAUCUGUUAAAUUUGUUGCCUCCAGUUGCACAUAUUCUUUUUGUUCUUUUUUUUUCUAUGGCCUUUCAAAAAUCCAUUAUUAAAAUGAAUGCUUCUUUCAUGAUA